GCAUGGAAAAGACCUGUCACAGCGGACACUGUGAAGGCCCAUCCUAGUACAAUCCGCAGAGUCUCAGGUGUCCAGACACCUGCGGGCAGAGCAGCAGCCGGGCAGUGGCCUGGGAGGCCCGGACACUGCUUCCUCUAUAACCUCAGGGCUGCGUCAGCUCAAGACUUUGGACAAACUCUCCUGUCCCACGGGCCGCUCCGCCCCCGCCAGCUGGAGAAGCAGGACCAUUUACGCUCACACCUGUCUGAGUUUCCUGGAUUUUCUUUAUUGAAGACCCUGGUUUGAGAAGUCCACACCUCGGUUAUUGCAUCCCCGGUUGUGCACUGGUAGGAAGCAUGAAGACUGAUAUGAAAGGGCCCGCUGUGUUCCUCACGUCACCGAGUGAUCCCUUCACGGCUCAUGUUCUGAGGCUGAAGAUGCCACGUGGCGUUUUUCCCCCGCAACCUGUGUGACAUCCGGACAGAGGAGUGGAGCCAGAGGCUGACACUGAAAGAUUCGAAUAAGUAGGAAGCUGUGUGGUUCUCAAGAGGGUUUUAUAAGACGUUGCCAAUUUUCUCUUUGGAAGAUGCGGGGAAGAUUAUAGAGAUAGGAAAUCCAGCUGAGCUUUAAUUCCAAUAAUGAAAUCAAGCACUAACCUGGGUAAGGAAAUUCCUUUUCUAUAAAUUGGAACUGUCAA